rnacentral:rRNA from 1 species
CCUACGGGUGGCUGCAGUGGGGAAUAUUGGACAAUGGGGGCAACCCUGAUCCAGCCAUGCCGCGUGUGUGAAGAAGGCCCUCGGGUUGUAAAGCACUUUCAGUGAGGAAGAACGCCUGGUGGUUAAUACCCAUCAGGAAGGACAUCACUCACAGAAGAAGCACCGGCUAACUCCGUGCCAGCAGCCGCGGUAAUACGGAGGGUGCGAGCGUUAAUCGGAAUUACUGGGCGUAAAGCGCGCGUAGGUGGCUUGAUAAGCCGGUUGUGAAAGCCCCGGGCUCAACCUGGGAACGGCAUCCGGAACUGUCAAGCUAGAGUGCAGGAGAGGAAGGUAGAAUUCCCGGUGUAGCGGUGAAAUGCGUAGAGAUCGGGAGGAAUACCAGUGGCGAAGGCGGCCUUCUGGACUGACACUGACACUGAGGUGCGAAAGCGUGGGUAGCAAACAGGAUUAGAUACCCCAGUAGUC